GCUGGCGGCGUGCCUAACACAUGCAAGUCGAACGAGAAAGUGAAGCUUGCUUCACGAGUAAAGUGGCAGACGGGUGAGUAACACGUGAACAACCUACCCUCGAGUGGGGAAUAACACCGCGAAAGCGGUGCUAAUACCGCAUAAUAUCUCUGAAUCGCAUGGUUUUGAGAUCAAAAGCUUCGGUUGCUUGAGGAGGGGUUCGCGCCUGAUUAGCUUGUUGGUGAGGUAACGGCUCACCAAGGCUGCGAUCAGUAGCCGGCCUGAGAGGGUGAACGGCCACACUGGAACUGAGACACGGUCCAGACUCCUACGGGAGGCAGCAGUGGGGAAUUUUGCGCAAUGGGCGAAAGCCUGACGCAGCAACGCCGCGUGGAGGAUGAAGGCCCUCGGGUCGUAAACUCCUGUCAGUGGGGAAGAAUGCUUCGCAAGAAGUUUGACUGUACCCGCUGAGGAAGCCACGGCUAACUCCGUGCCAGCAGCCGCGGUAAUACGGAGGUGGCAAGCGUUGUUCGGAAUUACUGGGCGUGAAGGGCGC
rnacentral:rRNA from 1 species